rnacentral:tRNA from 1 species
GUUAUAAUAGCUUAAUUUAUCAAAAGCAUUGGUCUUGUAAACCAAAGAUUAAAUAUAAAUAUUUUUAUAACC